UCACUGGCUUUGAUUUCGUUUUGAGAUGGGGCAGAAUUUUGUGUGACUGAUUAAGCCUUAUAUUCUGGAGUGGCAGAGUUUGACACAGUUCGUGCAUGUAUAGAUCUAUAUAUGUGUAGUGGAGUGGAUAUCUUAUCAGGAAACACCGGCCACCCCGAUAUCCACGUGACCCUUCCCCCUAAAUGGCACCUUGUGUCCGCGCAUGACAAGGCAGACCAACAUGGUCACUGUUGAUUCGACCGGCAUCUCCCGUAUGUUACUGGACCUACGUCGUCUCCACUCCCUGUUUGUGUCUGGUUCUACACCAUGUGUUUAUGUAUGGCUGCAGAUUGUUGAACCAGUCAUUCAUUGACAGUUGUUUAUAGUAAACAAAGGAACAAAAUGAAGAUACAAUGUCCAGAUGCAUGAAUUGGAGAUUUAGUAACAAAAGAAAAAGAACCUCAUAUGCUGAACAUAAAACUUAAUGGUUUUUAUAUGCUCUCAAAACAUCAAAUCUUGCAAAACCAGAGUCCUAUCAAUGGUCUUUUUCCUUCUAUUGGAUCUGACAAGAAUACAAAUAGAAUAGCUCAUGUUCAGGAUUCUAUUUACUGUGCAGUUGCUGUUUGGUCACUGGCUCAAGUUUAUAAAAAGAUUGAUGAUGACCAGGGCAGUAUCAUUAGUUGGGCCAAGCUGAUGAUAGGUAUGUUGCAAUGUUGGAUAUUCAAGUUGGCCUCCUUCAGUCUUAGAGCGACUAUGGUUCAUCUCAAACACUUUUCCAUGUGCAAUGUUGGAUAUGACAGGCAGAUAAAGUAGAAAAGUUCAAAUCCAAUUAAGUCCAGCAUAUGCCCUGCACUCUACAUUGGAUCUUGUCACUGGUUACCCAGCAUACAGAGGCAAAGAAUAAGAACAUUUGCAAAUAAUAAAUGAACACCUUUGAUUUGGAUUCCUCAACUCAAGGAAACAUACCAAUACUAGAACAGUCUUAAAAAAACAGCAGUGAGGCCAACAACUAGUUAUUUCAGGUUGACAAGGGGUGGGAAUCUACUGGAAUGGUUGAACAAUAACAAUAUCACGCUAACCCCCACUCUAUACUUAUGCAGUCAUUAGUCAAAUCAUUGUUUUAUGAAUGUAGAGCCUUGACACUUUAAGCUGAUUCACAAAUAUGGAUGUAAGUCUCAAGAUUAUUUUUUUGUUUACAUAUCUAAAUAUUUCAUACACUAUGCAUGACACAGAUUUAGAAAAUAAAUAUAAUUAGCUUUAGGAACUAAAGAUCACUAAAAACAGCAGAAGACUGAUACAAAUGGC